UAAAUCACAACCCUCAGGCUUGAGGCAUUUUUAUAUCUAAAAGCCUUAAUUUAUGCACCCCAUCAAAAAACACAGGAGGUGAUCACAAACUUACAUUUAGCAGAAUUCAAGAACACAACAAAAAAGAAGAAAAUAGAAGUGUAGAUCAUAACAAGAUUGCAACUAACAAAGCCAUACUUUUAGCAUCUGCUUUUUAAUUUAAUUCCACACUGAUUAAUCACAUCAUGGAAGUCUAAGAAGUCGCCGGAGAUUGUCAGUAGCACCGGUGUCGAUCCCGGCAGCCUGGGCAUUGCAGCUGAGCUUUGGCCUCAAUGAAAAAGUGGGCAAAGGCAAACUGCUUGGUGGUGGAGAUAUUGUGAACACAACUGAACCAGAAAACUUGCCAAUCUGUUCAAUUUCAACACCUUUAACUUUAAUACUUCCAACACUGUUAGUACUAAUUUUAUUGGUAUUACCUGAUGAUAGAGAAGAUGAAAUUUUUGUAAUAUUUUUUGGCAGAUCUUUAGGNNNNN
rnacentral:lncRNA from 1 species